rnacentral:rRNA from 1 species
CUCUCUGAUUCAGCGGCGGACGGGUGAGUAAUGCCUAGGAAUCUGCCUGAUAGUGGGGGACAACGUUUCGAAAGGAACGCUAAUACCGCAUACGUCCUACGGGAGAAAGCAGGGGACCUUCGGGCCUUGCGCUAUCAGAUGAGCCUAGGUCGGAUUAGCUAGUUGGUGAGGUAACGGCUCACCAAGGCGACGAUCCGUAACUGGUCUGAGAGGAUGAUCAGUCACACUGGAACUGAGACACGGUCCAGACUCCUACGGGAGGCAGCAGUGGGGAAUAUUGGACAAUGGGCGAAAGCCUGAUCCAGCCAUGCCGCGUGUGUGAAGAAGGUCUUCGGAUUGUAAAGCACUUUAAGUUGGGAGGAAGGGCAUUAACCUAAUACGUUAGUGUUUUGACGUUACCGACAGAAUAAGCACCGGCUAACUUCGUGCCAGCAGCCGCGGUAAUACGAAGGGUGCAAGCGUUAAUCGGAAUUACUGGGCGUAAAGCGCGCGUAGGUGGUUUGUUAAGUUGAAUGUGAAAGCCCCGGGCUCAACCUGGGAACUGCAUCCAAAACUGGCAAGCUAGAGUAUGGCAGAGGGUGGUGGAAUUUCCUGUGUAGC